UGAGUGGCUUGAGGAUCUCUAAGUAAUGGGCUAUUUUCAUGGGUCUGGCCCUAGACGGGGAUGAGGUGAACUCAGAGGUCAUCAAUUGCCCCUUUACCUUCUCGGCAGUUAUUGCUCCAACUGUCGAGGGGGUAAACCCCUAGAAUCAUUAUGACCGCGUCUGUUUGAAUUCGGCUUGCCUUUUCAUCUUAUUGUCACUUGUAGCUUUAAAUCUUCUCUAUCUUUUUUCUAUAUUUAGCUUUCCUCUGCUUUUUGUGCGCACUGUUAUCCUCGCUUUCUUACUUUUAUCUUCCCGGUACGUUCUCUUUCCUUUCUGGUGAAUAGCCUUUAAGGAUUCUGAUGCUACCAGCCUAGAGUAUAAAGUCGCUCUGUUUCACAUUAAAAGCUCAGCCUCUGAUUAUAUAUUACUAACCUUUCCUUCUUAUCCUUGGGAUCAUUAACAAAACAGCGAGAUUUCUCUUUUCGAUUUAGAGAAGGGGUAUGGUUUGCCCUUCCCUCGCUCUAGCUCGGGCUUCCAUGCCGAGCUCUCGAGGUUUCGAAUCUUCAAGGCCGUACAUCAGUGUCAAGUCAGUCUCAACUGCUCCAAUUGUUCGAACUUUUGGGUCCUCUCGGACUUUGAGAUCGAUUAAGAACUUCAGGUCAACAGGAACAAAGCCUGCCCCAUCUCCUGAUGAUGCCUUUCCGCAUAUGUUUCACGAUAUUGAAAGUUUAACUUGUUCCAUUGCUCUUCAGAAUGUUUCGCUGGUUUUCCUGGGUGUGCAUGAGUGUAUCGUGCAUCACACUUAGGUGUAGGCUUGCAACAUUCACUUGUUCCAUUGCUCUUCAGAAUGCCUAUCUAUGACGGAACAGUGAUAGAUGCUUAUGGGGGUCGACCUGUUCAGUUCCCCUAUAAUAACGAGACAGAGCUUAGCUGGCCUGCAAAGCUCAUCUUCCGAACUAUGAGAAUUCGUCUGAAUCGAAAGCUAGGAUAGUGGGGUAGGCGAUAGUGAUGUAAACGUAGAUGAUGAUGUAUCUGGGCAUGUAAAUCCUUUAAGGAUAGCCUUUUAUCCCGUAGUGUUGGUAUUUGUGACAUGCUGUAAUGUGUUUUUCUUUUAAUGAAAUUUUUAUUUUGCGUUCAUACUCGAGCUGUUCUUUCUUUAUCAUAAAUGAAGUACUUAGAUUGCUUGCUCCGUAACUUUUCCUGAGGG
rnacentral:lncRNA from 1 species